GAUGAACGCUGGCGGCGUGCCUAAUACAUGCAAGUCGAGCGAACAGACGAGGAGUUGCUCCUUUGACGUUAGCGGCGGACGGGUGAGUAACACGUGGGUAACCUACCUAUAAGACUGGGAUAACUUCGGGAAACCGGAGCUAAUACCGGAUAAUAUUUCGAACCGCAUGGUUCGAUAGUGAAAGAUGGCUUUGCUAUCACUUAUAGAUGGACCUGCGCCGUAUUAGCUAGUUGGUAAGGUAACGGCUUACCAAGGCAACGAUACGUAGCCGACCUGAGAGGGUGAUCGGCCACACUGGAACUGAGACACGGUCCAGACUCCUACGGGAGGCAGCAGUAGGGAAUCUUCCGCAAUGGGCGAAAGCCUGACGGAGCAACGCCGCGUGAGUGAUGAAGGUCUUCGGAUCGUAAAACUCUGUUAUUAGGGAAGAACAAACGUGUAAGUAACUGUGCACGUCUUGACGGUACCUAAUCAGAAAGCCACGGCUAACUACGUG
rnacentral:rRNA from 1 species